GCUGGGUGUGGUGGUGCAUGCCUGUGAUCAUAGCUACUCUGGUGGCUGAGGCUGGAGAAUUGCAAGUUCGAAGCCAUCUUGGGCAACUUAGCGAGACUCUGUCUCAA
rnacentral:sRNA from 1 species